UCAUAGGAAUUUUAAAGGAUAGUGUAGCAUUCAAUCCUUUGUUUCAAAGGCUUUCAUAGGAAUAUUUUCCAUAGGAUUGAAAUCCUUCAAAUUUCCUACACUUUUCCUACAAAUCAAAGCGGCCUAAAGGAUCAAGGGGAUUCCUCAAUUAACGCUUUUCUUAUAGGAUAUAUCGAACAAUUUCUAUUUAACAUAGAAUUAUGUUUAUAUUAUGUGUACAAUAGGAUUCGGAGACCUCAGGUGCUAAAUAAAUUUUAUGAUAUAAAUAGGAUGAAAUCUUUCUGGUAUGCGCUUGAACGAUGUGUGUAUACCAUGAUGGGUGGUGCCAUUUAUACGAUGUGCCCGUAACCGUAAGCUUUACAGUGGUCUAAAAGCGAAAUAAUUCCGAGCAAUGCGUCUGCUACACAGACCUUAAUAUUUAUAAGUGACUGCACUCGAAUACCUGACAUUUGGAUAGCAUCUACGAAGAACGGGAUGUCAGAUUGUGAGGUUUUUCCCGGUAUGCCAUUAAAAAAAGAUGGUGUCUGCCUCUGUGCCACUAAAAAGUUCGAGCCUCCCUCUGUGACAUCGUCGAAUUUUAUCGCGCCCUCCGCAUCAUUCCGUCCGUUUUUAUCCUAACGGUGGAUAACGGCUGCGCCAAAUGACUUAAUUGCCCUUAGGCCUCCUAGCACUCUCCUCUCUCCCUCAGAUGCAGCAGCAGCAAAGAAGCGGGAGGGGAGUCGCCGGCGAUGCCGCUGCGGUCGGCGAGGCGAAGGGUGACAACGGCGGCCGUGGUGCUGAGCCACCACAUCUCUCGCAUCCUCGCCGCGUCGGCCUUGUGCCGCCGCCACCGGUGGCCGGCGUUAGUGCGCGGCUGUGCCACCACAGACGACGACGGGGCGCUGCGACGACGGCGGCGGCGGCAUCGCUGCUCGAUGAAGAUGUCGGCAACAACGCUGCGACGACGACGACGACAACGACCGGGCCGAGGCGACGGCGGCGCCGGUCGGCCCUACGCGGCGGAAGGAGGCCGGGGCGUCGAGGAGGAUGGGGGAAGGACUACGCCCGCGUCGCCGCCGUCUCCGGCAACGCACAGCAGCACGGCAGCGUCUACUGGAAGCACGUCGCGGCGGCGGUGCUCGCCUCCCUCGACCUGGCCAGGACCUAGCGCCAUAGCUCACCGCCACACUCGCCACGACGGAGUCGCCAGUGUGGAUGGACAACAGCACGGCGGCACAGUGCUGGGAGGUGGAGGAUGUCGCUCGUGAGCUCGUUCAUGGCGUCGCUGCUGGUUGGCGGCUACGCCUACAUCGACAAGACCGACGGCGCUUGGAUGAACUUGAAGACGGACAGGGCGCUGCGACAACGACGAGCGCCGAUUGGAGGGGUGGCCGGUGGGGUUGCCGGCGGCCCUGGGCGAGUCGGAGGCGGCGCCGGAGUCGAAUCCGGCGACGGAGGCGGGGGCGACCGCGGAGGGAGGCGCGGUGGCGGCGUCUUGGACGGGGACGGCGACGACCCGUGCCCGCGGGCCACCUCCGCCGACGCGUCGGAGCCCUCGGAGGCCGAUCCCGCCGCUACCGACGCGUCGGAGCCCUCGGAGGCCGAUCCCGCCGCUACCGACGCGUCGGAGCCCUCGGAGGCCGAUCCCGCCCCGCGGGCCACCUCCGCCGACGCGUCGGAGCCCUCGGAGGCCGAUCCCGCCGCUACCGACGCGUCGGAGCCCUCGGAGGCCGAUCCCGCCGCUACCGACGCGUCGGAGCCCUCGGAGGCCGAUCCCGCCCCGCGGGCCACCUCCGCCGACGCGUCGGAGCCCUCGGAGGCCGAUCCCGCCGCUACCGCCGCGUCGGCCUCCUCGGCGGGGCGCUUCGAUGCCAUGCGGUGCAGGGAGGGGAGGGGGAGCAGGUCGCCGCCGUCGUCGAACCUGCACCCAGCCGCCGCGCAGCACCAGUCGCCGGCCACGCCGCGCCACCGCCUGUCUGCCACGCGCCGCGCCGCUAAGCGCCGCCUUGGCUGUCCGCCGACGCCGCUUAGCCCACUCGCCGUCGGCGCCGCCUGGCUACCUCUCUCUCUCUGGUGAAAAGGAAGAAAAAAAAGAGGGGAACGAAGCAGAGACUAAAAGGGCAAGAAGGACAUUUUUCCUACCCAGCCCCACAUGUCAGAGCUCCCAAACAGUUAAAGCCAAACAGAAUAGCGACGGAAUGGUAUGGAGGGCACGAUAAAGUUCGGCGAUGGCAUAAAGGGAGUCUCGAACUUUUUAGUGGCACAGAGGCAGACACCAUCUUUUUUAAUGGCACACAGCAUGGCAAAGGAGCAGGGGAGCAUAUAUCCUAAAAUAAAAUUACUGUGUCUAAACGAAUGCCAUCAAAUAAGUACCACCAAUGCUCUCAAUUCCCAAGUCCCAUUUUCGUGCUUACAAAAGAUGCCCAGCUGGAAA